UACGUAGGGGGCGAGCGUUGUCCGGAUUUAUUGGGCGUAAAGAGCGUGUAGGCGGCCAGGUAGGUCUGCUGUGAAAACUCGAGGCUCAACCUCGAGACGUCGGCGGAAACCAUCUGGCUAGAGUCCGGAAGAGGAGAGUGGAAUUCCUGGUGUAGCGGUGGGAUGCGCAGAUAUCAGGAGGAACACCGGUGGCGAAGGCGGGUCUCUGGGCCAUUACUGACGCUGGAGGAGCGAAAGCGUGGGGAGCGAACAGG
rnacentral:rRNA from 1 species